AGAGUUUGAUCCUGGCUCAGGAUGAAUGCUGGCGGCGUGCCUAAUACAUGCAAGUCGAGCGGUAAGGCCCUUCGGGGUACACGAGCGGCGGACGGCUGAGUAACGCGUGGGAACAUGCCCCAAAGUGAGGGAUAACGCACCGAAAGGUGUGCUAAUACCGCAUAUGGUCUUCGGAUUAAAGGAUUUAUCCGCUUUGGGAGUGGCCCGCGUACGAUUAGAUUGUUGGUGAGGUAACGGCUCACCAAGUCGACGAUCGUUAACUGGUCUGAGAGGAUGAUCAGUCAGACUGGAACUGAGACACGGUCCAGACUCCUACGGGAGGCAGCAGUAAGGAAUCUUCCACAAUGGGCGAAAGCCUGAUGGAGCAACGCCGCGUGCAGGAUGAAGGCCCUCGGGUCGUAAACUGCUUUAUGAGUGAAGAAUAUGACGGUAACUCAUGAAUAAGCACCGGCUAACUACGUG
rnacentral:rRNA from 1 species